AGGCUCACUUCAGCAGCACAUAUACUGAAAAACUGAAAUAAUACAAAGAAUAUUAGCAUGGCUCCUAUACAAGGAUGACACGCAAAUUCAUGAAACAUUCCAUGCUAAA
ensembl:snRNA U6 U6 spliceosomal RNA